UUAACUAAUACUUUUUUUUUCCACCUAAUCUGCUUCUAUUUUAUGGUCUUUUCUAUAAUUUUUUUUUUUUUUUGCGUAUGAUGGGGGCAGCCAUUUUGUCUGAGUUGUUUUUUUAACAGCAUUUAGCGAUAUGCUUUGUGGACAUAGGUAGCAAUGGACAGGAGCUGUCCCUUUAACAUGGAUGGGAAAGGUUUCUGGGAGUGCUCUGUGACCUUGACAAAAGUCAUUCCAUAGAGGGGGGGGAAGGGCUGAGCUAUGAGCAACAGCUAUAGCCUUCUGUCUACUGGUGUCACCUUUCACUGUAAUGUUGAACAGAUCACUCGCCGUCAGGUAGAGAAUAGAGCAGGGAAGUCAGGGGCAGCAGUCGGUAUCGCCCUCACCGCCAUAUUGCACCACGGCUGGAAGAAGCGCACCUGUAUGCGUGAAACCACCGGCAGUCGCCUCUGAGCGCCCCACGCCAUUCAUGCCUUCCCUGCCGGAUUGAGCAGCCCGAGAUGGGAGCCGAUAUUUCAGUGUCAGGACUACUUUAUUUAUCGGAGAACGUAGCAGCCGGAGGGUGAAUGAGUAAUAGCCGAGCACUAAGCGGACCUGUUACCACAGUGAUUUCUAGCAGCCUGGUGUUAUGGCGUCAGAUGGCAUACAGCACGAACUGCAUACACGCGCAGAACGGUAAUGUGUUAGCUGGAAGUUGGAAGCAAGAAACGUGCAUGAAAGAAAAAAACUAAAUGCAAAACCAACCUUAUAUAUCUAAAAUAAAAAAAAUUUACGAAAU